GUGUCAGCCGCCGCGGUAAUACGUAGGGGGCAAGCGUUAUCCGGAAUCAUUGGGCGUAAAGCGUGCGUAGGCGGUUUGAAGGGUCAGAGGUGAAAGGUCGGGGCUUAACCCCGGUUAGCCUUAGAAACCGGCAGACUUGAGUACAGGAGGGGAAAGUGGAAUUUCUAGUGUAGCGGUGGAAUGCGUAGAUAUUAGAAGGAACACCAGUGGCGAAGGCGACUUUCUGGACUGUAACUGACGCUGAGGCACGAAAGCGUGGGUAGCGAACAGGAUUAGAAACCCCAGUAGUCC
rnacentral:rRNA from 1 species